AAAAGGUGGCUAUGCUACCGCUUUUGGAUGGGCCCGCGGCGCAUUAGCUAGUUGGUGGGGUAAAGGCUUACCAAGGCAAUGAUGCGUAGCCGAACUGAGAGGUUGAUCGGCCACAUUGGGACUGAGACACGGCCCAAACUCCUACGGGAGGCAGCAGUAGGGAAUCUUCCACAAUGGGCGAAAGCCUGAUGGAGCAACGCCGCGUGGGUGAAGAAGGUCUUCGGAUCGUAAAACCCUGUUGUUAGAGAAGAAAGUGCGUGAGAGUAACUGUUCACGUUUCGACGGUAUCUAACCAGAAAGCCACGGCUAACUACGUGCCAGCAGCCGCGGUAAUACGUAGGUGGCAAGCGUUAUCCGGAUUUAUUGGGCGUAAAGGGAACGCAGGCGGUCUUUUAAGUCUGAUGUGAAAGCCUUCGGCUUAACCGGAGUAGUGCAUUGGAAACUGGGAGACUUGAGUGCAGAAGAGGAGAGUGGAACUCCAUGUGUAGCGGUGAAAUGCGUAGAUAUAUGGAAGAACACCAGUGGCGAAAGCGGCUCUCUGGUCUGUAACUGACGCUGAGGUUCGAAAGCGUGGGUAGCAAACAGGAUUAGAUACCCUGGUAGUCCACGCCGUAAACGAUGAAUGCUAAGUGUUGGGGGGUUUCCGCCCUUCA
rnacentral:rRNA from 1 species